GAUGAACGCUGGCGGCGUGCCUAAUACAUGCAAGUCGAACGAACGGACGAGAAUCUUGCUUCUCUGGUGUUAGCGGCGGACGGGUGAGUAACACGUAAAUAGCCUACGUAUAAGACUUGGGUAACUGCGGGAAACCGUAACUAAGACCAGAUACUCUUUUGAACCGCAUGGGUCAAAAGUGAAAGAGGGUCUGGGUAUCGCUUAGAGACGUAUCCGCGCUUCAGUAGCUAGUUGGUAAGGUAACGGCUUACCAAGGCGACGAUGCAUAGCCGACGUGAGAGCGUGAACGCGCACACUGGGACUGAGACGCGGUACAGAGACCGACGGGAGGCAGAAGUAGGGAAUGGUGGGAACUGGGCGGAAGAUUGACGGAUCAGUGGAGGGUGAGUGCAGAAGGGCUGCGGAUCGUAAAACUCUGUUAUUAGGGAAGAACAUAUGUGUAAGUAACGGUGCACAGCUUGACGGUAGCUAAUAAGAAAGCACCGGCUAACUACGUG
rnacentral:rRNA from 1 species